AUUUGGUGUUAAGGACACUUGAUGCAUAAUUUCUUGAAUCGCUCCCAAUAUUCAUAAAGUGACUCUCCUGGAUGUUGCUCGAUACCGCAUAUCUCCUUUCUUAGACU